GACCCAUCACUCUCGAUCGCAUCUUGUCCCACGCUGGCCUUCGCGAUAGGAGACCCCCUCUCGCUUCCACCUCCUUCGCAAGUGAAGCGCCUCCUCCAGCCGAGGAGGAGCACAACGACUGGGUCAUCGCAGAUCGCCUCUGCCCACUCCCGUGAUGGGACGGCCACUAAGGUAUCGACCACGCCUCCUCCGACAAGAACGAUCACAAAUUGAUUUGACCCCAAAGAUUUCUCAUGUGUACCUUCUGUCUGGUUCCUCUUCCGCUAGCUCUUCUGAGUGUAGGGCAGAGUUCUGCAUGGACACCUGCAAUGGCCAGGGUCAACAAUGAUGCAGAGUUCUGCAUGGACGAGUACCUGCAACGGCCAGGGUCAACAAUGAUGCAGAUCAGAUGUUCAACUACAGCCCCAUCUAGCCAAAGUCAGAUGUUGGUUGCAAGAAGGGGCUCUGUAGGUUGCGAGAGCUUCUGGUAAUGCAACAACAAGAAUCGACAUGGAGGUCUAGCCGUCUGGAAGUUAACGACUGAUAUUGUCCUGCUUGGGUUCAUUCUGGGCUUAAUUUUGCUGUAUAUAUGUGAUUUAAGCCGUGGAAGUAUUGUAAUAGACUUAAUUGUUGCUGUUGUGAAAACAUGUUCAUGUAUUCUUCGGUUCUGAUUA